rnacentral:rRNA from 1 species
UACGUAGGGGGCAAGCGUUGUCCGGAUUCAUUGGGCGUAAAGAGCUCGUAGGCGGUUCGGCAAGUCGGGUGUGAAAACUCUAGGCUCAACCUAGAGACGCCACCCGAUACUGCUGUGACUUGAGUCCGGUAGGGGACCACGGAAUUCCUGGUGUAGCGGUGAAAUGCGCAGAUAUCAGGAGGAACACCGGUGGCGAAGGCGGUGGUCUGGGCCGAUACUGACGCUGAGGAGCGAAAGCGUGGGGAGCGAACAGG